GACUGUGAAGGCAAUCUGUCCACAACAUCUGUCACCGCAAUCACUGUCAGGUUUAAUCUGGUUGCACUGGCUGGCUAAGGUAGCCCCGUCUUCCUUCAGCACUCCUGCACAUCCCUCCAGAAUGUGGGGACUUGUUGAAAAAGGACACCCUUCUGCUGGAGAAAAGAACAGUCCUCUGGUCAUGAGUACCCAAACAACUGCAGUUCCCUGGUAGGAAUCUCCAAAUAAGUUCUGAAGGAAUAGCAAAUUUGAAAAUCAUUUGUGAGACUCAAAUUCUAACAAGGCAGCU
rnacentral:snRNA from 1 species